AAUUGAUGCGUGUCCAGUUUUGUUGAUUCAAAGAAAAAGCUGGUGUGGGGGUCAGAGACUUCUGGGGGAGAGGAAAAGGGUCUGAGAAAGUUGUUUUGGGAGAGAGAGAAUCGGAAGGCAGCUCUCUCUGGGCCCAGGAGUGCCUCCCUGCCUGUCAGCCGUUUCUACAGAUCCCUUAAUGCUUUGUUGUCAAAGGUGGGAGAAGACCCCUUCUGGUUCCUGUGUGAUCCCUAGGCUUGGAUCCAUGUAGUUGGGACCCGAACCUUUAAAACUGCCAACCCUGAUUUCCAGGGGACUUUAUGGCAAUAUCAAUAGAAUUAAAGUUACUUGUAAUUCAGUGAUAAAUGAGAUGCCUUGAGUAAGUAAGAUUAAGUGCAGUGCUAUAAAGUUGUUUAUCUGAAAAGUAAUUCUCAGAAACCUGACUUCUGACACUUAGUCAUAUAUUAAACCAGCUUCUUUGAACAUUGCACUUCAGAACGGUCUCACCCACCCCACAGCAUACUUUGCUAUUUAUAACAGGGCCUUGGGUGUCACUCACUCUACAAGACUGUGCUAGGACUUUUGGCAAUUUCUUUUGUAGUAGCCAGAGCUAUGUGGGGACCUGUCUGGGAUGUACCCUCAAAUGACUGGGGACCUAUUAAAAAAUCCACCUGAAAUCCUCCAUCUUCAGAAUUUCCUGGAUGAAUGUGUACUUUCGCAGUUCUGAUUUCCCUCCAUUUAGCAGGGUUGCCCUCCAGUAGUUCUAUGUGAGGGAGAAUGAACUGUGUCUGUUAAUUUGUCCUUCGGACCCCUAUCUGUACAAUCAAAUAGCCCCCACUUACUUUCUUGUUUGGUAAAGAUUUUAUACAGAGGAAAGUUAAAGGCUUGUAUCAUGUGACCAAAAGCUGUUCCCGGUUGCAAGUUGAAGCCUCUUUCCCUUUGAAGACACAUCCUUUAUAAUUUUUAUUAGAGGUCAGCAAGCCUCUUCACCUAUGGACAAAACCAAGACAGUGUGUUCCCUCUAUGCAAGGUCUGAAAAUCAUGUCCUCUGUGUGUUACUGUCCGCUAGCAUCUCUUCUCCAUUAGUAUAUAAUAAAUAAUUACAAGUUGGGACUGUA